rnacentral:rRNA from 1 species
GGAUGCAAUCGCCUAGAUGUCAACUCAGACAAUAUUGAAGUCAUCAACACAAUGAAGAAUGGAGGACAAUCAGCGGGAGCGGUUUUUGAUGAUUGCUAUUUUUUGGCUUGUGAUUUUUCUCUUACUAGGUUUGAACAUUGUAAUAGGGAGGCAAAUAGGGUGGCUCAUGAACUAGCUAGAUUAGUGAAAACUUCCGUGACAAAUGAAUAUUUUGAGGAACCCAUGGAUGAAAUUGUACCUCUUCUUAUGGACGAUGUAACUGUUAUUUGCAAUUAA